AUGUCCGUUAGCAACAAGCAUACGAGUUGUGCCUAUGCUCUACUGUAUUGGCCUCAUGGGUCAUCGCUGAUUGACCAGGACUAUAGCUUAUUCCUGCAGCGUACUAUCGCUUUCUCAAGUCAACUCAAGCAACAAUUCAUGUGGCUCGCUCAAUCAGUCAGAGAGCUGAACGGGGCGAGGCUGGAGGCGUCAGUGAGGGCGUAUGGCGGCGCCGGCCAGAGGAAGGUGUCCAACAAAUGUCAAAGAGCUGAACGGGGCGAGGCUGGAGGCGUCAGUGAGGGCGUACGGCGGCGCCGGCCAGAGGAAGGUGUCCAACAAAUGGAGAGUGUCCUAUAUGGGGAAGCAAAGCAGCGGCAUGCUGCUCCUUUGGAAGGUCGGCUCCUGGACCAUUUGUGCUCUGCUUGA
rnacentral:rRNA from 1 species